GGAAAGGGGGGAGAGGGGGGGGGGGGAAGAAAAGGAAGGAAAAAGAGAGGGAAAAGGGAGAAAAAGGGGAAAGGGAAGGGAAAGAGAGAAAUUUAGGCCUCCAUUACAUAAAAAACAAAUAAAAAACUGAGAAUGUGGAGUUUUGUGUGCAAUUGUUCGAGAAGCCCCUGAUUGCAGCCCGCAGACGGAGCCCACAUGGAGGGGGCGGGCACUCAGUCCACAUGGAGGGGGCUGGCACUCCGCCCACAUGGGGGGGGCGGGCACUCAGUCCACAUCAAGGGGACGGCCUGUCAGUUCACAUUGGUCAAACAGCAUUUCUGAUCCCGUUUCUGACCUGAAAUUAGCUGAAAUUGACCUGAAAUUAGCUGAAAUUAGAGUGUGCCCGCCCGAGCGAGUGAUGCCUAAAACAUGCAAACAAAACUGAAGACCAGGAACUGGAACCUGGGAACCUGGUAUGUAAUAUGUGUGUAAUGCUGGAGGUUGUUAGCCUGGUUCUACCAGACUCUCGUACUUCACUUCAUUUCAUUUCAUUUGUACAGAGAGUCUGGACCUAAUCAAUUGACAAACGUUAACUCACUUGAAGGCGGGUGUCUGUUGAAGUUUAAAAUGAUUGGAUCUGCCCAGUGCCACUCUGGAUCUGCCAUAACCAAUCGCUAAU
rnacentral:lncRNA from 1 species